GUGAGUCAUCGAAUCUUUGAACGCAUAUUGCGCCCUUUGGUAUUCCGAAGGGCAUGCCUGUCCGAGCGUCAUUAUCAACCAUCAAGCCUAGCUUGUCGUUGGACCCUUUGCGGCUGAAACAUGUGGCAGGUCCGAAAAAUAAUGACGGUGUCGUGUUUGACCCUAGAUGCAACGAGCUUUUUAUAGCACGCAUUGAAGUGGUUGACCGGCCUGGUCUUAACCAUCAAUUUCUAAGGUUGACCUCGGAUCAGGUAGGAAUACCCGCUGAACUUAAGCAUAUCAAUAAGCGGAGGA
rnacentral:misc_RNA from 1 species